UGUAUAAUGGGUCAGCGACUUAUAUUCUGUAGCAAGGUUAACCGAAUAGGGGAGCCGAAGGGAAACCGAGUCUUAACUGGGCGUUAAGUUGCAGGGUAUAGACCCGAAACCCGGUGAUCUAGCCAUGGGCAGGUUGAAGGUUGGGUAACACUAACUGGAGGACCGAACCGACUAAUGUUGAAAAAUUAGCGGAUGACUUGUGGCUGGGGGUGAAAGGCCAAUCAAACCGGGAGAUAGCUGGUUCUCCCCGAAAGCUAUUUAGGUAGCGCCUCGUGAAUUCAUCUCCGGGGGUAGAGCACUGUUUCGGCAAGGGGGUCAUCCCGACUUACCAACCCGAUGCAAACUGCGAAUACCGGAGAAUGUUAUCACGGGAGACACACGGCGGGUGCUAACGUCCGUCGUGAAGAGGGAAACAACCCAGACCGCCAGCUAAGGUCCCAAAGUCAUGGUUAAGUGGGAAACGAUGUGGGAAGGCCCAGACAGCCAGGAUGUUGGCUUAGAAGCAGCCAUCAUUUAAAGAAAGCGUAAUAGCUCACUGGUCGAGUCGGCCUGCGCGGAAGAUGUAACGGGGCUAAACCAUGCACCGAAGCUGCGGCAGCGACACUAUGUGUUGUUGGGUAGGGGAGCGUUCUGUAAGCCUGUGAAGGUGGCCUGUGAGGGUUGCUGGAGGUAUCAGAAGUGCGAAUGCUGACAUAAGUAACGAUAAAGCGGGUGAAAAGCCCGCUCGCCGGAAGACCAAGGGUUCCUGUCCAACGUUAAUCGGGGCAGGGUGAGUCGACCCCUAAGGCGAGGCCGAAAGGCGUAGUCGAUGGGAAACAGGUUAAUAUUCCUGUACUUGGUGUUACUGCGAAGGGGGGACGGAGAAGGCUAUGUUGGCCGGGCGACGGUUGUCCCGGUUUAAGCGUGUAGGCUGGUUUUCCAGGCAAAUCCGGAAAACCAAGGCUGAGGCGUGAUGACGAGGCACUACGGUGCUGAAGCGACAAAUGCCCUGCUUCCAGGAAAAGCCUCUAAGCAUCAGGUAACAUCAAAUCGUACCCCAAACCGACACAGGUGGUCAGGUAGAGAAUACCAAGGCGCUUGAGAGAACUCGGGUGAAGGAACUAGGCAAAAUGGUGCCGUAACUUCGGGAGAAGGCACGCUGAUAUGUAGGUGAAGCGACUUGCUCGUGGAGCUGAAAUCAGUCGAAGAUACCAGCUGGCUGCAACUGUUUAUUAAAAACACAGCACUGUGCAAACACGAAAGUGGACGUAUACGGUGUGACGCCUGCCCGGUGCCGGAAGGUUAAUUGAUGGGGUUAGCGGCAACGCGAAGCUCUUGAUCGAAGCCCCGGUAAACGGCGGCCGUAACUAUAACGGUCCUAAGGUAGCGAAAUUCCUUGUCGGGUAAGUUCCGACCUGCACGAAUGGCGUAAUGAUGGCCAGGCUGUCUCCACCCGAGACUCAGUGAAAUUGAACUCGCUGUGAAGAUGCAGUGUACCCGCGGCAAGACGGAAAGACCCCGUGAACCUUUACUAUAGCUUGACACUGAACAUUGAGCCUUGAUGUGUAGGAUAGGUGGGAGGCUUUGAAGUGUGGACGCCAGUCUGCAUGGAGCCGACCUUGAAAUACCACCCUU
rnacentral:rRNA from 1 species